rfam:Oryza punctata chromosome 10, whole genome shotgun sequence.
CCCGCUGAGUUUAAGCAUAUAAAUAAGCGGAGGAGAAGAAACUUACGAGGAUUCCCCUAGUAACGGCGAGCGAACCGGGAGAUGCCCAGCUUGAGAAUCGGGCGGCCGCGCCGUCCGAAUUGUAGUCUGGAGAGGCGUCCUCAGCGACGGACCGGGCCCAAGUCCCCUGGAAAGGGGCGCCUGGGAGGGUGAGAGCCCCGUCCGGCCCGGACCCUGUCGCCCCACGAGGCGCCGUCAACGAGUCGGGUUGUUUGGGAAUGCAGCCCAAAUCGGGCGGUAAACUCCGUCCAAGGCUAAAUACAGGCGAGAGACCGAUAGCGAACAAGUACCGCGAGGGAAAGAUGAAAAGGACUUUGAAAAGAGAGUCAAAGAGUGCUUGAAAUUGCCGGGAGGGAAGCGGAUGGGGGCCGGCGAUGCGCCCCGGCCGUAUGCGGAACGGCUCCGGCUGGUCCGCCAAUCGGCUCGGGGCGUGGACCGUUGUCGGCCGCGCCGGCGGCCAAAGCCCGGGGGCCCCGCGCCCCCGGUAGCCGUCGUCGGCGCAGCCGGUCACCGCGCGCCUCUGGCGCGCCCCUCGGGGCGCUGCGCUGCAACGGCCUGCGGGCUCCCCAUCCGACCCGUCUUGAAACACGGACCAAGGAGUCUGACAUGCGUGCGAGUCGACGGGUUCUGAAACCUGGGAUGCGCAAGGAAGCUGACGAGCGGGAGGCCCUCACGGGCCGCACCGCUGGCCGACCCUGAUCUUCUGUGAAGGGUUCGAGUUGGAGCACGCCUGUCGGGACCCGAAAGAUGGUGAACUAUGCCUGAGCGGGGCGAAGCCAGAGGAAACUCUGGUGGAGGCUCGAAGCGAUACUGACGUGCAAAUCGUUCGUCUGACUUGGGUAUAGGGGCGAAAGACUAAUCGAACCAUCUAGUAGCUGGUUGUCACACCCUGGAGUUUCCCCUUCUAGCUCUAAAUCAAUAAAAUAAAUUGCCUAAAAGAAAUUGUUUAUUUAACCAGGAGCAAACCCUAAAUUAACAAUGUGCGUAAUAAUCGGAAUUGCCAGGGAGAAUUUUUCUUUUCGAAUUCUCCUUGAUUAAAAACGUUAACAGGACUUUCAACGGAAUAUGUAGAGCAGACGAAGUAAUAAUUUUAAUUUAAAAUAUCAGGAUUUGAAUUAAUAAUUCCUUCCUUCCCCUCCUUUGGUCAUGAACCGUUCCCGGUUCACUCUCCCAGUUUGCGAAUCGUUAUAUCCGCUGACCCCUUUUGUCGCCACGGUUUCGUUUUGUAUGACGAGCCAAGUCCUACUCUUAUUCCGGUUCAGUUUCUUGUUUCUUUCCCAAAAUGGCACCGUAUUUGUUUCCCUCACCUUUCCUUUUUACGUCACUUUUUCUCCGUAUUCUUUCCCCCCCUCUUGUCGAGCGUCUUCUCUCUUCUCCCUGCCGUGCGCCACUCCCUUUCUUGGGCCGGCCCAACCAGCACCCCCUCCUCCACCUCUAUAAAAGCCACUCCACCCCCUCCCCUGUGCCCCCAACCCUAGCCGCCGGCUGCCCUAGCCACAGCUGCCGUGCCGCCGCUAUGCCCUAGCCGCCGCUGCCAUGCCGCCGCUUUGCCCUAGCCGCCGGCUCCCCUAGCCACUGCUGCAUGCCGCCGGCUACCCUAGCCGCUGCUGCCCUAGCCGCUGGCUGCCCUAGCCGCUGCCUCGCAGCCGCUAGCCGCUGCUGCAGUGUCGUGUCGCUGCUGCGUUGCCACGCCAUGCCGUGCCGCUGCCGCUGCCCUACCCACGCUACCGCUACAGCCGCCGCCGUGCUGCUUGCUGCGUCGCUGCUGCCGUACCGCACGCAGCCGCUGCAUUGCUGUCGCUGCCGUGCCGCUGCCGUAUCGCACGCAGCCGCCGCUGCUGCCGUACCUCACGCUACCGUGUUGUCGCUGCUAUGCCACUGCCGCUGCCCUAGCUGUUACUGCACCGCUACCAUGUUGCCACUGCCAUGCCGGGUGCCACCGCCACCGCUUUGCCGUGCCGCUGCCCUAACCCUAGCUGCAUUGCCAAGUCGUUAGCCGUGCUGCCGACCCGUUACCGUGGCACUUGCCGCGCCAUUAGCCGCCUAAAACCCUAGCUACGUAGCAGCCGCCUAGCCGUGUUGGUUUACUGACCUCGCUACCGCCGCACCUAGCCAUAGCCGCAGCCGUGCCCUCACCGUGGUACGUAUCAUUCACUAGCCACUCGCUGCUUACGCUCGCGCAUAGUGUGGCAUCGUGUCAUAUCGGGUUGGUCGUACCGAGUCGUUCUAAAACCCUAGAGCCUUUCUGAGCCGCCGGUUCUGUUCGCCGGUUCGGUUGACCGUUUGCGUGGUCCCGUGCCACGGUAGGUUGACUCUUGAGUCGCUGACCCGUGAGGCUCGUUAACCGAGGUUUGUUUUCCGUUAACCUUGUCCGUUCGCGGGCUUUAAAGCAUAUCAAUUAAGUAAGGUUUUUCGGUUAAUAGUAAUUACAUAGUUCAUGUUCUAAAAUUCAUAACUAAUUCAUACGAACUCCAAAUUGGGCCAUUCAUCUUGCAAAAUUCAUCUAAAGUUGAGCUCUACAUGUUUGUUUACUUUUUAUGUACUGUUUAUUUGGUUUCUAUUAGAGUUUUUCCUUGUUUUGCGUUCCAACAUGUAGAUUCCGCUGUUUCGGAUGAUCGCGGUCGCGAGGAAAAGAGUUUGGAAGAUCAAUCGAAGACGCGAGGCAAGUCACACAUUCCCCUUGAGCAUUUUGAUCCCAAUUUAUAAAAUGUUUUACUGUUUACAAAUAAAUUGCAUGGUUUGUUAAUUACAUGGGAAUAGGGUUUACCAAUCUGCUUGCUUGAGCCAUAUUUACUUGAUGUCCUUUCUCUGUCAAACUUGGGUGAUAACUUGACUAGCUUGCAUCUCAUGUGGACCUCGCUAGAACUAUAUUAUGCUUAGCUAUGCUUAAAACCACUAGCUCACAAUAUGGGAUAAUCACAUUAUCUAUUUCUAGUAUCUUGAUGAGCUGCGGGCUCGAGACAUGCCGGCCACGUUUCGUUGGUCGUAAUUAACCAACUAAAAUAUGGCUUAAUGGUGGGCUGUGGGUGUAUGGUUUUGCUAGUCGCACCCAUGGGAAUUAAGGACCGGUUCUCGGGAAACCCUGGAAGACUAACAGUGCUUACCACAAGCAGGCAUGGGUAACUAUUGGACUUGUAGUGCAGCUUUUCCCUAGCUGACUCAUCCAGGCAAGGGUGGGCGUGAUGGAGUUAGAAGACCAAGGCUUAUACCCCAAUUGAGUUUUGCCUGUCGAGUGGAGCUGAAGCCUCGCUAGGAUCGUCCGUUUUUUUCCGCUGCUGUUUUCUUUUCGGUGUGAAGACUAAGUGCUUCUUCUGUAAGUAUUUACGCUUUAUUUACGUUUGGAUCUGUAUAUUAAUUUGUCGUUUUGUGCACCCUGUCUUGAUUCCUGGACAGGGAUUUAUACGCAAAAUUGUCUGGAAAUUUGGGAUAAAUUUCUGGGCGUGACACUGGUUCCCUCCGAAGUUUCCCUCAAGAUAGCUGGAGCCCAUUACGAGUUCUAUCGGGUAAAGCCAAUGAUUAGAGGCAUCAGGGGCGCAACGCCCUCGACCUAUUCUCAAACUUUAAAUAGGUAGGACGGCGCGGCUGCUCCGGUGAUCCGCGCCACGGAAUCGGGAGCUCCAAGUGGGCCAUUUUUGGGAAGCACAACUGGCGAUGCGGGAUGAACUGGAAGCCUGGUUACGGUGCCAAACUGCGUGCUAACCUAGAACCCACAAAGGGUGUUGGUCGAUUAAGAUAGCAGGACGGUGGUCAUGGAAGUCGAAAUCCGUUAAGGAGUGUAUAACAACUCACCUGCCGAAUCAACUAGCCUCGAAAAUGGAUGGCCCUGAGGCGCACGACCCACACCAGGCCAUCUGGGCGAGCGCCAUGCCCCGAUGAGUAGGAAGGCGCGGCGGCCGCCGCAAAACCCGGGGCGCGAGCCCGGGAGGAGCGGCCGUCGGUGUAGAUCUUAGUGGUAGUAGCAAAUAUUCAAAUGAGAACUUUGAAGGCCAAAGAGGAGAAAGGUUCCAUGUGAACGGCACUUGCACAUGGGUAAGCCGAUCCUAAGGGACGGGGUUACCCCAGCAGAGAGCGCGACCACGCGCGUGCCCCGAAAGGGAAUCGGGUUAAGAUUUCCCGAGCCGGGAUGUGGCGGUUGACGACGACGUUAGGAAGUCCGGAGACGCCGGCGGGGGCCUCGGGAAGACUUAAGAUCAUUUUUAGUCCUGGUUGGUAACACCAACCGGGACUAAAAAUCCGGUUUUUAGUUGAACCGGGAGUAUUGUGGAUUUUGGACGACCCGGCAAAGAUCACUUCUCUAGUAGUGCAGUAAAGGUACCUGAAGUGCAAAGUCGGGGUCGAAAUCCAUUGUUU